GAUGAACGCUGGCGGCGUGCCUAAUACAUGCAAGUCGAACGAGGCCCUCUUCCUUCGGGAGGAGGUGUCCUAGUGGCGAACGGGUGAGUAACACGUUGGUGACCUACCCCGAAGAGGGGGACAACCCCGGGAAACUGGGGCUAAUACCCCAUGUGAUCCUAAGGAUUAGAUGCCUAAGGAUGAAAUGGAGCAAUUCGCUUCGGGAGGGGCCUGCGGCCUAUCAGCUAGUUGGUGAGGUAAUGGCUCGCCAAGGCGACGACGGGUAGGGGACCUGAGAGGGUGACCCCCCACACUGGAACUGAAACACGGACCAGACACCUACGGGUGGCAGCAGUAGGGAAUAUUGCACAAUAGGCGGAAGCCUGAUGCAGCAACGCCGCGUGCGCGAUGAAGGCCUUAGGGUUGUAAAGCGCUUUUCUGGGGGACGAGAAAGGACGGUACCCCAGGAAUAAGUCUCGGCUAACUACGUG
rnacentral:rRNA from 1 species